rnacentral:rRNA from 1 species
UGCAAGUCGAACGGUAACAGGAAACAGCUUGCUGUUUCGCUGACGAGUGGCGGACGGGUGAGUAAUGUCUGGGAAACUGCCUGAUGGAGGGGGAUAACUACUGGAAACGGUAGCUAAUACCGCAUAACGUCGCAAGACCAAAGAGGGGGACCUUCGGGCCUCUUGCCAUCGGAUGUGCCCAGAUGGGAUUAGCUUGUUGGUGGGGUAACGGCUCACCAAGGCGACGAUCCCUAGCUGGUCUGAGAGGAUGACCAGCCACACUGGAACUGAGACACGGUCC